AGAUGAGCAUGAUGAUGGGCUCUAGCUGCAGUCUGGCUCCACUGGUCUGGUGUAGAACAGGCUCUCUGGAGGCGGUUUGUAACUGUGGUCACAAAAAUCAAUGUUCUGGGAGAACGGGAAGCAGCUCCAUUUUUUGGGGGCCUUUUAUACAGCUCAAGGUCUGGGUCCCAGGGUCCACCUUCAUGUUCUACCAAUGAGUUUGUUCACAGGGGGUGGAGUGUGUAGGGGAUGUCCUGAUAUGUGUGUAAGGAAUGCAUUGUGUGAAUCUGUGUUUGUAUGUGUAAGGGCUGCAAGGUGUGUUUCUGUGUAUGUACGCGAUGCAGUGUGUGCGUCUGUAAGGGAUGCAUUGAGU